rnacentral:lncRNA from 1 species
UAAAAGAUUGACCAGAUUAUCUGAAGAGAAACCUUAUUAUAUUUUACACAUAGCUCUUUGAAAAAUACCAUGGGCUGCUGAUAUAUAUCUAAUAGCCUUCUCUUUCUCUGCUAAGAGAAAGUAAAUCUGGCAUUUUCUAGUUUUCUCCACAAUGUAUAAUAAGAUAUGAGGAGUUAUUACAAGCUUAACUAGAUGCUUUGAAAAUCAGAUUUUAGGAAAAGAAAAUAAAAAUUGUUACUACCUAUGUUGAAUGUAUUUUUCACUUUUCUCUGUAGAUAUGGUUAUGGCAAAACGCUGUGACUUGGAACCUUUUUCAGAUUUCAGUUGUCCUAUUCUGCUUCCUUGCCUGCUUUGUGAGCACAUCUAUCAGAAAGUGUGGUCACAGGAUUUCUAGAGAUAACCCAGCGCAGUGCUUGAAUAGGGAGUUUCUGUGUUUCUGUUCUAUACGUCACAGUCUUUCACAUCUUAGCAGUGUUGUAGCCAUUGCGCACCUGAGCACCUUGUGCCUAGGUAGCCCGAAGAUGUUAUACAGAAACAAAUUGCUGUUUGCUUUCUUUGAACUUCAGUGUUUUGUUAAGCUCGUGCCUGUUCUAAAGCAGCCAUAUCUCUCAUGAAUUGGAAAAAAUUAAACCUUGGUGCAUUGGCUUUAUUUGCGAUUUUAGUAUUCUCAUUUUCUUAUUUUAUAAGAAAAUGUAAAAUUAGGAUAUUGUAUUUGCCAGAAUUCAAGACUUAUAGAUUUUAUAUACAUGCAUGCACAAUUCAUCAGUGUGUUGAUGAAUAAAAACAAAACAGAAUCAAGCAUUUUUUUAUUGAGCACUAAUUUAUUACCAUUUUUGCUCUACUGUCUCUAACGUCAGCAGAAGGUAUGAGUAUAUACGCAUGGGUCUGGCUUUUGUUCAGGCUCUGAGUAAGCAGUGAGCAACUUGCUCUGUAGUAGCUAUGCUAUUGUUAACUACCUGUACAUUGUUUAUACAUGAAUAAUUGCAAAAAUUAAGUAUACUGACUUCGAUGGUCUCUACAUAACUUACUGAAACAAUUGGUCAUAAGAAAGGCACAGUCAGUCCCUCCCUUGAUAAAGGAAUCUCUAGCAAGCUCUGUCACUCAUUCAACAGAGCAAUAGAUUUUUCUCUUCAUUUGGACCAUGCAUUUUUAUGCUGAUCAUCAGUCCAUAAUUUUAAACUUUGUUUUUUAUUCUGUCAAUAUUCUUGAAUCUUUAUUUAGCAGGGAUAAUACUUUUGGAAUACCUGAUGAUGUAUCUUUGGUCAAUAAAUUGGUUUUUGUCUUCUGAUCUUUUCUUUUAUCAUGUCCCCAGGAAAGAGAGCAGGAUGAAUGCCACUUUGUAGGGUAAAUUCCUUGAGUAUUAAAGGAGAAAUGAAGGACAGCCCAUUCAAGUGUCAAAGGAAUGUGGGAAGAACAGGCAGAGUUAGAGCAGGCAGGUGGUCAGGUAUAUAUUUCUUGUCAUUCCCCGCCCCCAUCACCUUAGGGAACUGAAAUUCAAGGUUUAGGGGGUGGGUAGGUUGAAGGUAAGCCAAAAGUGAAGGAAGCUUAUGCCCCAUCCCCCUCUUGUAACUCAGGGAAGAAACAGUCUUUCAAGGCUGCUUUAACACAAUGUAAGCAGCCACAGCAGAAGAAAAUGUAGCAUGCUGUGGUUAGGUAAAGAGGACUGCCAGGCCUCCUUUAGCUGGUGAGUGGCUUCUGAGGAAUCCCAAAGUUACUUCACACUCCAGGUAGCUGGGUUGAGAGCCAGUGAACCUGUCAGUGGGAAAGAUGUGUUGAGGGGCAAGCUGAUACCCACGCUGUAGCUGACAGCCACGCUGUAGCUGACACUGAUUGAGCUAGGU